CUGCUCCUUUCCUUCCAGUCCUUUCUCCCACCACAUUUCACAUACACGCCGGAUGGCACUCCGUAGGAUAUUUUCAGAUUCAGGUAAUGCAGGAAUAAUACCAUUUAAUAUAAAGGCACAUUCUAGAAGAGCUUUGUAGUUCACUGUUUCAUCCACUACGGGUAUGGAAGCAGUAACUACAGCUGUCACUCCUUGGAUCACAGCUACAGUUUGUUUCAUUUCUGGAGCACUCUCAACUUCCAUGCCAUCAUUACUUUCAGCAUCUUCUACCCGUUGCCAUGUUUCCACAGGUUUCUCCAUCAAGGUCUC
rnacentral:lncRNA from 1 species